AAACUUUUGGCGCCAUGUGAUGUUGUUGUUCGAGGGUAAUCGAAGAUCUCAUUGGAUUUAUUUACAGAAAGAUUGCAAACAACAUAUGAAGACAUCAUAAACAUGCAAUAUCAUGCUAACUAAAAUGCUGAAGGUGGAUUGCUAUAAAUUACGAAUAUGAGCGGAUCAAACGACUUUUUCAAAAGUGUAGACGAUGCGAUCAGUUUUCUGUGGAAGCAAGAUGUCUUGUCAAGAAAAAGCAGAACGAAUUUAAAAACAUCGCUUGCAGUGCAAGUAAUCGAGCGGACCUCUCAGAACCAAGGACUAAACGAAGAUCAGCUUCUUGGGUUGAUAGACCUUGCUUGCUCACGUCUAUACGGGGACGCCGUAUCUUCCAAGCUGGUCAAGUCCCUCAUACCAAAGAACAGGAUCCCUAGUCUAGCUCUAGUAAAAGCCAUUUCAUGGAUUUCUACCAACAAGCUCUCAAUUUCCCUACAGGCUUUGCUUGUGCGGUGGAUAUUAGUGGUAUACCAGCUGCUUGAUGACAUCACCCCACUCCAGGCAUUGUACGGAGUGCUGUUUUUAUUUCUGGAAAGUGAUGUCUUGUGUCCUCUUGUGUGUCAAUUACUCUCCUACAUAACGAGAAAGGAGGAUGUAAAAAGAUUCAGAAUCAAAAGAAUUCUGAACCUUCAAAACCGUGUGGGGACACAGGCACAUUUGAAUGGUUUGCUCUCCAUCUAUAAAAUGCAUGCUCCAAACCUGGUUGCCAUGACAACAUCAGUCUCAAAGGUUUGGUUUAAAAAGAGGGAUAGUGCUUGGUCAGAUAAGAUCUGGCAAGUUCAAGAGAAGCAAUUUUCUCUGGAACCAGUGAAUAAGUUGUUCCUUGAAGCACGGCUUGGAAUACCAGGUUCUCCUGCCCAGAAGAAGAGAAAGGCAGGCCAUAUAACUAUCCCCUCCUUACAGUGUAGCUCCAUGUCUGCUAGUUUGGAGGGGGACUUCAAUGUGACGAUAAAACAAUUGGAGUCGUUUAGUGAUCUCGUGGCUAAUAUUGAUAGAGUGGAGUUACCGAGCCAGAUUGCCUCAGUGCUUGAGUCUCCAUUCUUACAGCAUGUGAUCUCGUGCAACCCUUCUUAUGUGACGCUGCAGAGACUCAACUUCUGGCUAAGUCAUACCUUAUUUGAAGAGUUCUUGUCUGGCGAUGAGACUGUGGUGGGAUCAUCUCAUGCAAGAAUGUUACUCUUGCUAAUACAGCUUGGAGAAUUCAUCCAGGAGUCCGUACCGGCGGUGGAGAUGUGGCUUGGUCGCUAUCUGUUCAGUUGGAGUGGCGCCCAUCACCGACCUUUGGUGCUCAAGCUUAUCACUCAGAUAUCACUGCAGCCGUUUGCAAAGCUUUACGAGUUCGCUCUAGAGCCCCUGAGAAAGCUGUUCUUCUCGUCCCCCGUUUACUUCAAGUGUCAAGUGAUGUACUGUCUGACAGAACUGCUACGAAACUUUGUCUUAUUUGAGCUCCCAAGACACGAGGAAUUGUCCAAGAGGAGAAAGGCGAACAGCAACGAUGCCUCCUCAAGUUUAUUUCUGGAUGAGGAGAUGGCCAGUUUCGACCCUCAGCUUGCUAUCUAUGAAUACAUAAAGUUCGUAGACAGACUCUCUGCUGUAGCCUUACAGGCAGAGGGAGACCAUGCGCUGCUUCAGCAUCAUGUUCUGGAGUUCUUUGAGCUGGUGUCAGUGCUUCAAACUCGUUUCCAGAUCGGAUUCGUCGUAAUACCGUGCGCAAGCGUGGUAUACAGACUACUUUUCGCAAGUAACGCCAUGGCGGUAUCAAGAUUCUUAGCUAUCAUGGUCAACUAUAGAAGUUCGUUUGAAUCUCUCAAGAAGAGUACAGUUACAUUUGAGACGUCAGUCCCGGACAGUUUCCAGUCCAUCCAGCAGCUCAACCAGUUUAUUUUAGACACGUGUGACAGCAUGUGGAGAAACAAAGCAUUUGUGAAUAGGGACGGCGAGUCUUGCUACGCAUUGCCAGGGUCAGUCAGAGAUAAUCUCUCGCUGGGUCAUAUCAAUGAAGCCUUCACUGUUCAUAACCAUGUGGCAAUGGUCGGGUUUGCCUGGAAAUUCCUACACGAGACCCAACCUGAAGACCUCCCCUUAAACCCGCGUCUUAUCAAGGGUCGAGUCAGGCACGCAUACAUGGAGUACCUCCGUCGCCAAGGGCUGCUGGGUAUUCAUUCAUUCAUGAAAACAUUCAUCAGGCACAAGAUUUGACCUGAGCAUGCGCACACGACAGCAAAGGAUGACGGAGUACGUCAUGAGUCAUGAGUCAUGUGCGUGCAAGACUGACCGAGGCCGAGUCCGCCAUUUUCCGAGCAUGCGCUCUCAGCAACGAUGUGAUUUCCCAGAGCCCUUCGUUUGGCGACGCAUGCGCAAAAAUAAGAAGAAUAAGGCUCUCAGGACGAGAUUGAGGAUUUCUGUGCUCGAAUAUGCUAACCGUGAGGCAGCUUUAUGAGCCCUGUGACGUCACAACUCUUACCAACUCCAGAAAGCCUGGGGCUAGACUUUGAGAUACUGCCACUGGACAGCUACUACAUUAAAACCACGUACACAACCUGGGAACAGAAACAGUUUGAAUUAUCGAGGUCAGGGGUCGAUUAUUUUCUGCCCAGAUUUUUGUAUAAAUCACGAAAGUGAAAUCUUUAUUUAUAUAUACGUGAUGAAAAUCCCUUAAGAGUAAUGAAUAAUAUAUUUUUUCUUUUUUUAAUAAUAAACACCCGAGAAAAUAGUUGAAAUAGGCCAAGUUAGGGGGGAAAUAUCCGAGUUCGCGUUAACGGGGUUCUACUGUUGUAGAUCGUUUCAAACCUAGGGCGGGAAACCCCAUCUUCCAAGUACAAAACAUACAUCAAUACUCAAUUGUAUGCUCUAUUGAGAGGGUUUGUUUUACGACGCAUAGUUCAUGAAACACAUAAUUUCCUUGGAAACAAUAAGUGGGACAUCUGUCGCGUCAGUUCGCAUUAUUUAAUAACACGGGUACGGAACACACUCGAAAAAUAACACGAUUUACACGCGAAAAAGCAUAGGAAGUGUUUCAGCCGUAGCAACUCAUUUUUGUACCAUUUAGAAGAAGUUUGCUAAAAGGGUUGGGACGGGAAAAAGCGUGAGCGGAUGUGAAUCAGAGAUAAUAGGAG